ACACACACACACAUACACAGAGGUCUUUUCCACGCGUGUGCGUAUUCUCGCUUGCCCGGUGCUUCCCGAUUUUGCUGGAAACGGAAAGAGUGGCUUAAGUGCGUCCCAGCAAACCGGCAAUGUCUUUGACACUUGAUCUCGGUGCUGCACGUCCAAAGCAAGAAAGCCCGGUCCACCCCAACUCCUGUCCCUCUGAGGACGCUCCUGGCCGGGGACGGGGACCCAGAGGAGGAGCGCUCCUAGAGCAAGGCGGAGGACAAAGAAGGGAAAACAGAAGCAAAGUCUUAGAAUUGCCGGUGUUAAAAAAGACUGCUGUUCAUUGCUGACUUUCUCAUAUUUUGCUACAAAGGAAAAAGAAAUUGAAUGAUGUGUCUACAUUUGAGAAGAAAACACUAGCAACAGUGGUGUAGGUUGAAAAGUCAUUGUGCCGAAAGGGCAGGAGUGAAUGAAGUCCCGGGGGGCCGCGGACGCGGGGCGAGGAGACCUCCUGAAAUGCGAUCCGAAGCUGCUUUGUGAGAUGCACCUGGGUUGAAGAGUCAGGUCAAGGGCUUCAAAGCCCUGGCCCGCACGUGGGAAACUCUCCUGUCCUCUUGCCUGCGUCCCGCCCCGCCUUCUCGCGGGUGCCCCCCUUUCCCCUUCCACUUUCUCGCUUUCCCUCCAGCUCUCUCUGCGCUUCUUCCUCCACACCUCUCCUCGAGGUAAUCUCAGCUUUCUCCUCUUCUAUUUUGCUAGUCUGUGUAUUUUAGAGUGAUUAAGCCCCAAGUAUUUCUCCUAACACACACAGAAGUAGGUUCUUGGGCUAUAUGAGCGCAUUCAUUCGUUCAUUGUUUGAAAAAGAACGGAAUCCGCACGUCUGAGACGUUGCGGCUGAGUACUCAGUGCUGAUCUACUGGGAGGCUCACUUCCGUCAGAGUAGGGAACCAAUCCAGGUCGCGGGCCAAAGGUAGUCCCGGUUUACCUGCUGCACAAAUUACCAUCCCAAGCGAUGUUUAUCUGGAUUGCCCGAACACUUCUGACUGCGUGGUAAACACAAACCUUACUCAGCUGUGAUUUAAAAAGAUAAAAACUAUAAACACGACUUAUUUGUUCCCCUGUUGGAGCCCGGUCUUCGGAAGGCACGCCCUGCGCGCUCACCUCGAGGAAGGCAGCGGCGCUGCCGAGCGGGGAGCGCGCUGGCUGCCCCGGGCCCAGGUCUGGUGUCGGAACCUCCGCGCACCCCUCGGCCAGCCUCGCACCCACGUGGGGCCAGGUCUUGGAGCGCCGGGAGGGUUAAAGGAACUUCAAGCUUUAGGGGUCUAUUCCCCUUUCUGAUUGGAGUUUUACAAACCCACUUGAUCUCCGUUUCUACUUCUGAUUCUUCUCCUCCUUCCCUUCCCCUUUUUCUUUCUUCAGUGUCCCUGUCUUUCCCGUACACACACACACACACACACACACACACACACACACACACACACGGUGACUUGGGCAUCGGUCCACACAAACACCCACAGAACCCCGACCCCUUCUUAUUCCAUUGCUCCUCGCUUCUGCAACUAGAACUAGGGAGGAAAAAGGAGCGGGGAGACAGAGAGAGACAGAGAGGAUCCUAACAAGCAAAGACGCCCAUUUGCACGUCUGGGGUCAUUCUGGCUAAGGGAGAGCACAGUUGCUGCCAGGCAGGGAAUUGCAGAAGAGGCAGUGAGGCUCCUUUCAGCUCCAGCCUUGUCUGGGGUGACCUCUGCGGGAGGUGGGGCUUUGGGGAAGGCAUGGAGGGCGCAUCCUCCCCUGAGGCUCCUCUCUGCGCUUCCCACUCUCUGGGAAGGGAAUUAGGAAGAGAUCCAAUCCCCAGGCCACAAGGAUUCCCAGGAUUUGGAGAAACCGAGUAAGAUCCGCACCUUCCAUCUUUGCCAGAUAAGCCUCAAGGAGGCCAUGGGGGGGGGGGGUGAAGUUUUCCGGGGCCAGGAGAACCAGGUCGGCUGGCACUUGAAGUGCUCAGCCUCCUGCACCCCUUAAAGACAGGAGAGCUUCCGCGGGCAGUGCUAGGCCCACCCUACUCCAGCACCUGGGGUUCUGGUGAGAGCAUGGAGGGUCUGCCUCUGGCCUGGAGGGCAGAUCGGCUCCGGGAGAAGCAGUAACUGUGGGUCUGCCCCACACUGCCACCGCCUCACCUCCUGCCCUGGGUCUCCACUGUCCCUCCAGAGGGCAGGCCUGCAGGUACUGCUGGGUGGCUUGCAUGGCCUGGAAGAGCAACAGCAAAGACUCCAAAAGCCCUACCAGCUCUAGGUGGGCUGAUUCAGCCUUUGUGAAGCAGUAGAUGAGCGGAGGAAAGCGAACUUUUAAGUAACAGCGAGUUUUCCGAGAGCCCCUACACUAAGCAAGGUGGAAAAUAGCCUGGGACAGGAGCAGAGAAGCUUUUCCUCCCAUCCCACCCAGAACCUGGGGGAAACCUGGACAGAGAACCACACUCACCUCGGUGGCUGAGAACCCUUUGCAAAGAUGACCUGAUGGUCCCACUCAGCCAGUCUCGGGGCUGCGGUCCUUGCUCACCUCUGGAGCACAGGGUCUGGAGAUAGGUCUGGAGAGACACAAGCGGCCCCAAGACCAGGUUUCACUUUCCCCUCGUUACCUCCUCUUGUAAAGGUCUGCAGAGGAAGAGGAAAGCCUUUUUUUUGGUAGUAAAUCAAAUGUGUAAUUGUACUCACCUCGAAUUAAGGAAUAAAAUGUAUCUUUUUUUCAA